CCUAUUUUAUCAGCUCCUCCCUCCACUUCCCACAGCGUGCAGAGCAGUUUGGGAGGUGCUGAGAGAUGUGGGGGGCUCGCUCUGGGGGGUGAGGAGGACACGUGCUGCUCCUGGCACCCAGUGAGGUAGAAACAACCAGAUCCUGGAAGCACAACCCAUGGGACUGUGAACCCUUGGCAGGACCAUGUCCCCCUUGAAGAUUAGGGAAAUCCUGGCCCGUUCUGAGGUUGCUCUUUUUAAGGGCAGGAAUGUAGAAUUUGCUGUGGAUGAAGUUGUAUGCAGUAAUGAACCUCCUGAGGCUAUUUUUCUUUUAAAUGCAUGAAUUGUAGCUCUUCUGGUUCUUUCAUUUGUGACUUGUGUCUGUGCACAUUCUUCGGGUAUGUAG